GAAUUUUAUAUAAAUUUAUUAUAGAGUAUAUUUAUGAAAAAUUUAAUAAAGUUAUCUUUUAUUGGGAGGAUAGAUAAAUUAAGAAAACUUUAAUUUUGUAGAAACAUUAAUUUAUGAUACGUAAAUGAGUGGCUUAGAAGUUUCAGGAGAAUUAAUUACCUUAGGGAUAACAGCAUUAUAUCUUUAGAGAGAUCUUAUUAAUAAAGAUGUUUGU
rnacentral:rRNA from 1 species